CAAAACAAUAAAAAGAGGAAAACACGAAACGUGCUUCAGAAGAUUUGUUUCAUCUCUCCCGUUCGUCCGCUGUAGCCUCUUUGAGCACCUCUGCGAGCACAUCCUCCGCGACCACGUCCUCCGAGUUCACUUCACAGAUCUUCUCCACCAUUUUUAGUGUCGCGACCAACUCUUGCCUCACUUUCUCCAUUUUCAUCUCUCAUUUGUCUUUGUGAUUAGUCCGCUGUGCACCUGCAAUAAGACACUUUUUUUCAUUUAGAAAAAAACGAAGAGAAGAAGAUUGGACGACCUCAACCAUUUUCAUCUGUCUCCCCACUUGAAAAUAUGACGCAAAUCUCCUCAGCCAUUUUUUGUCUCCCCUCCACUGCAGAUUGGCCGAUCUCCUCCGCAGUUUGCCGACCAAAGUUCUUCGUCUCCCCUUGUUCCUCCCUCCACUGCAAAUUGGCCGAUCUCCUCCGCAACCUACCUCCUAAGCGUCAGAUCCUGAAGCUCGUCUACACUACUCUGCGGCUCUGCCACUACGUGAAUUCCUCUGCGUCAUCUCUAGUAGCCUGAUAGAUGAUCGCUCCUGAAGCUGCAAUGUAGAGACCUACCUCAACCAAUUUGCUUAAAAUCUGUUGUAAUUGCCUUAGUUUGGUGUUCUGAAAAACUGGGAGUGGGAUGGAUUUAGGUAGAGAGAACGAGAAUCGAUGGGAGAGGAGAAGAGAAUGUAGCCUCAAGAAUUAAAUUUGUGACUUCUCAGCUGCACAUGACAAAAAGCAAAGGAAAUGCUCUAUCUGAACUUGGUAUUCAUAGAUGCAAAUUAGGGUGGAUGAAAUACAACCAGGGGUGGAUGAACACAACCUGAGCUAUAGUUGGGGAUUUUGGUUUUGUUAUCAUUGAUUAAGGUACAAGUGUUGGUGAAAUUACAAGUACAGCAACCAAGAGCUGAGUGAAGCAUUCAGGGAUAUAGAACUAUUAAUUUCUGUAAAUAUACUUCAUGAAUAAUGGGCUGUAAAAAAUAUUUAUUUGUUUUCCCAUGUAGUGUGUGGUUUGGACUUUACAUUUGCUUCAUGGGCUGUAAAAAAUACUUAUGAGUUCAUUUUAAUAGAUGUGGGUGUGAUUUUAUAUUAGUAUCAGGAGUAUGAGGUUGAUAGAUGUGGAUGUGCUUUUGUAUUUGACAGCUUCUCAUCCUGAAGUGCUAUCAGGUUGGUAGAUGUCAGUUUGCAAAGAUAUGAACUUGGAAUGAGAUCGUCAUUUUGAUUGCAUA